rnacentral:piRNA from 1 species
UCAAAAGUCGUGCCUGCAGCA